UGCGAGUGAAGCGGGAAGAGCUCAAAUUUGAAAUCCGGUGGUCUUUGGCCAUCCGAGUUGUAAUUUAGAGAAGCGUCUUCCGCGCCGGACCGUGCACAAGUCUCCUGGAAUGGAGCGUCAUAGAGGGUGAGAAUCCCGUCUUUGGCAUGGACCCCCGGUGCUCUGUGAUGCGCUCUCAAAGAGUCGAGUUGUUUGGGAAUGCAGCUCAAAAUGGGUGGUGAACUCCAUCUAAAGCUAAAUAUUGGCGAGAGACCGAUAGCGAACAAGUACCGUGAGGGAAAGAUGAAAAGCACUUUGGAAAGAGAGUGAAACAGUACGUGAAAUUGUUGAAAGGGAAACGCUUGAAGUCAGUCGCGUCGAUCGAGACUCAGCCUCGCCUCGGCUUGGCGUACUUCUCGACCGACGGGCCAGCAUCAAUUUGAUCCCUCAGAUAAUGGCAAGGGAAAGGUGGCACCUUUACGGGUGUGUUAUAGUCUCCUGUCGCAUGUGAGGGGUGGGAUUGAGGAACUCAGCACGCGCCUUUGGGUGUCGGGGCUUCGGCCCACGUUACGUGCUUAGGAUGUUGGCGUAAUGGCUUUAAACGACCCGUCUUGAAACACGGACCAAGGAGUCUAACAUGCCCGCGAGUGUUCGGGUGGAAAACCCGUGCGCGUAAUGAAAGUGAAAGUUGGGACCUCUGUCGUGGAGGGCACCGACGCCCGGACCAGACCUUCUGUGACGGAUCUGCGGUAGAGCGUGCAUGUUGGGACCCGAAAGAUGGUGAACUAUGCCUGAAUAGGGUGAAGCCAGAGGAAACUCUGGUGGAGGCUCGUAGCGAUUCUGACGUGCAAAUCGAUCGUCAAAUUUGGGUAUAGGGGCGAAAGACUAAUCGAACCAUCUA
rnacentral:rRNA from 1 species